AUGGAGGAAGAAGCUUUGAGGGCGGCGAUGGAAGACGCUUUCCUGGAGGGCGCGGUUCAAUGGCGCGCGGAUACCAUCCUCCAGACCCUGCGGAUGGACAAGCUAGAUGCGUGGAUCCGUGGAGAGGGGCUUUCCGAUGACAUCGAGGCGCUAAAAUCUGAGAUCGAUGAAGUCAAGGCGACGGUCUCUGAUGUAAAGGGGAGGGCGAUCGGCAACAGGCGGCUGGCUAGGUCUCUCGCCGCGCUCAAGCAGAAGCUCUUCGACGCCGAUGACGCGAUCGACGAGCUCGACUACUACAGACUUCUACACCAGGUCGAAGGAGGCCAACACCUGCUGCCAUCUUCGUCCAACACGCACAAUUGCUUCGCCUCCGACGAUGUCACUCAGCCUUGUACCCCAGCUGCAAUGACUACCCCCGUUACUUUGCAGGAGCCUGAAGGCAUGCAUGAAGUAGCACAACUAGAUCAUGGCACAUUGAGGGGCGAUGAUAAUAUACUGCCAAGAAGCGGUCGUGGCAAAAAACGGUCCAAGGCAUGGGAUGAUUUUGAAGACAUAAGAGAUGAUAAUGGAAAGACCGUGCAGGCAGAAUGUAGACACUGUAAAAAGAGAGUUCAAUACAAAGGUGCACAAGGGACAAGAGUCUUGAUAACUCAUGUCAAUAGUGCCGAGUGUAAGAAUACACGAGAAGCACGUCCCCAGACGCCAAGCCAUUCAACCUGCAUAAACGAUGCUACUGAAAAUGCUACCCUCGCUAAUUCAUCCAGCAGACCAACGAACCAAGAGCGAACACAGAUCACCGCAGCUGUUGCUCACCCUUGGAAUAAGGACGAAAUUUCCAGUAGGAUACUGAGAAUAACUCAUCAGUUGCAAGGCAUCCGAGGGAAUGUGACAAAGGAUCUCAACAUGUUUGGGUCACACUCUGGUGCAAGUUCAGUUCUCCAUCAAAGAACAGCCUCAGAUCCAUGCCGAAGAACAUCAAGUCUUCUUCAAGGCAAAGUGUAUGGGAGAGACAAAGAGAAGAACACCAUCAUAAAGGUGAUUACUGCUGGGAAAUCUGACAGUGUGACUGUCGUGCCUAUUGUAGGCAUUGGAGGUGCUGGGAAGACAGCUCUCGCACAAUCUGUAUGUAAUGAUCCGAAAGUGCAAAACCAGUUUGACCACAGCAUAUGGGUGUGGGUGUCUAACAGCUUCGAUGAAAUGAGAAUCACAAGAGAGAUGUUAGAUAUUGUCCCUCGAGAAAAGCACGAAGGGUUAUGCAGCCUUGACAAACUCCAGCAGGUCUUGAAAACUCAUAUCGAAUCAAAGAGGGUUCUACUUAUAUUAGAUGACGUCUGGGAUGGCAUGAACGAUGGCAAACUGGACCUGAUACUGGCUCCUUUCAAGUCAGACAAUGCAAAUGGCAAUGUGAUCCUUGUAACGACCAGAUAUCUCUCUGUUGCAAAAAGGAUAGGAACGACUGAACCAAUUGUGUUAGGUGCUCUGGGAGAAGACGAUUUUUGGUCACUGCUCAAAGCACGAGCAUUUCGUGAUGAGAACUGUGAAGGGUAUGGAAAGCUAGAAAGCAUUGGAUGGAAAAUAGCAGGCAAGCUAAAAGGCAACCCAUUAGCAGCAGUAACUGCAGGGGGACUAUUAAGAGUUGAUCUUACUGUUGAUCAUUGGAACAAAGUUCUCGAGGAAGAAGGUUGGAAAUUGCUGGAGCUCGGUGGAGGCAUCAUGUCUUCUUUGAAGCUUAGCUAUGAUCAGUUGCCUUACCAUCUACACCAAUGCUUCUCAUAUUGUUCUAUAUUCCCCGAGAACCAUGACUUUCUUGAUGAGGAGUUAGUCCGUAUUUGGAUUUCGCAAGGAUUUAUCAACCCGAGUCAUUCAAGUAAGAGACUGGAGGAGAUAGGAAUGGACUAUUUGGCAGAUUUGGUGAACGUGGGCUACUUUCAGCAAGUUGGAAGAAAUUCAUAUGUCGUGUGUGGUCAUAUGCAUGAUUUUGCAAGGAUGGUUUCAAGAACUGACUGUGCAAUUAUAGAUGGUCUAGAAUGCAAUGAUAUAUUGCCAACUGUACAACAUUUGUCAAUAGUAUUCAACGGACUUCAGCAUAGGAACAUACAUGUAGAAAAUAUGCGAGACACAAUUGCAUCAAUAGUCACAAAAUUGAGAUCAUUUAUCUUAAUUGGGCAGUACGAGUCUUCCUUCUUCCAAUCCUUCCAAAAUAUAUUCCGGAAGGCACAUAAUUUACGCCUGCUGCAAAUGUCUGCUACACCAGAUGAUUUUCGUUCUGUGUGUAGUUUGGUAAAUCCUACUCAUCUCCGUUAUCUAAAAGUUAAUGUUGGUUGCAGUGAAAGAGAUGUGCUUCAAGUUUUGAGCAAGUUUUGCCAUCUUCAAACAUUAGAUGUCGGAUCAAACACUACCCUUAAUGGACCUCAUGGCAUCAAUUAUCUUGUGAGCUUGCAAUAUCUUGCCGCGGCUUCCAUUGCUAGAGUUGGCAAACUGACCUCACUUCAGAAACUAAACAAUUUCAGCUUAGAAGAUUGUAAUGGCUUUCAGAUUACAGAACUUAAAUCCAUGAACAAUCUUGUUCAACUAGGGAUUUCUCAGCUUGAAAACGUUAAAACUCUGGAGGAGGUUUGUGGGGCAGGACUGCAAGACAAAUGUCACUUAGAAAAGCUGCACUUGUCCUGGUCAAGCGACCGGGACUUGUUCUGGAAAAGCUUUUUGCAUAGUGAACCUUCUACCAGCAUACAAACAGAGCAGUGCUUGCGAACAGAGGUACUUGAGGGUCUUCAACCACAUAACAAUCUAAAGCAUCUGCAGAUAUUUGGAUACAAUGGUGCUUCCUCUCCAUCUUGGCUUGCCAGCAACAUACCAAUAACCUCUUUACAGACCCUUCAUUUAGAGAACUGUGGAGAAUUGCAGAUACUUCCAUCUGUUGAAAGGCUUCCGUUUCUUAUAAAGUUAAGCUUGAGCAACAUGCCAAAAGUAAAAGAAGUAUCCAUUCCUUCGUUGGAGGAGUUGGUGUUAAUUAAAAUGCCAAAGUUGGAGAGAUGCUCCUGUAUUUCCUUGAGGGACUUGAACUCUUGUUUAAGGGUUCUGAUGAUUAAGAAAUGCCCUGCACUGAAGGUGUUUGAUCUGUUUGGGAACAGCCAUAAAUUUAAAAUUGAGCAGAAGCCAUGGUUACCACGUCUUCGUGAACUCAUUAUUCACAAAUGUCCUCUUUUGCCGGUACCACACCCUUUACCAUCUUCAAGUACCGUUUCUAGAAUUUCCAUGAGUGGAGUUUCAAAAUUUCCAGGAAUAGAUUUACGGUCCUGCGGAAGUUUAACCAUCGGCAAGGAUCCUGAGGUGGAUGAUUCUGAUUCUGAUUCUGAAUAUGAUUCUGAUGAAGAGGGUAGUUUUUACAGGUUUUCUGAUAACCUGUCAGUAUUAGAUGGCAAUAUUUUGGCAUUCCAUAAUCCAAGGUUCCUGACACAGUUGAUAAUAGGUCGUUGCCGAAAUCUGACGCAUAUUUCAUUCAAAGGAUUAAGUCAACUUGUAUCCUUAAAGACACUGAGAAUAGUGGACUGUCCAGGACUUUUUGGUUUCGAUGUUCCACCAGACCAUACCCAUGAAGAUUUAUUUCAAGCUGAUAGCCAUGAAGAUUUAACAGCUGUAAAUUGGAAUGCCCUCCCAUCUCUUGAAUGUUUAGAGAUUUUUUCAUGUGGAAUAACGUGGCAGUGGCUAUCUCUGAUUCUGCAACAUGCGCUAGGACUAAUGAUAUUGGAUUUACGUCGCUGCCCAAAUUUAGAAUCUCUACAACUGAAUUCCUGCACGGCACUGGAACAGUUGGGGGUAUAUGACUGUGAAUCGCUCGGCAUACUAGAGGUCUUGCAAUGCCGUUCCCUCAGGGAUAUGAAAGUGGUGCAUGUCCCAAAAUUGAAAUCCCUACAGCUGCACUUUUGCACGGCAUUGGAAGAGUUGGUCAUCCGUGAAGCUGCAGUCUGCGUGCUAGAGGGCUCACAAUCACUCAGGAAGUUGGAACUCCGUGACAACCAAUAUUUGGAAUCUCUAGACCUGUACUUCUGCACGGCACUGGAAGAGUUGGAUAUUCUGAGAUGUUCUUCACUCUGUACACUAGAGGGCUUUCAAUCCCUUGGCAGCCUCAGGCGUCUGUAUCUACGUGAUUGCCCUGGCUUGCAUUCAUAUUUGGAGGGUUUGCCAGCGCAGGACUGCGAAUUAUGCCCUCAACUAGAAUUUCUUGGAAUCAGUGACUUCUCUUUCCUUGCCACGUCGUUCUGCAGGCAACUCAGAUCACUCCAGCGGCUAGUUAUUUGUGGUUCUGUGGAAGAAACGACAGCGGAAAGACUAACAGAUGAGCAAGAGACAGAGCUUCUGCUCCUCGGUUCCCUCACAGAGCUCCGAUUUGAGGAUUGCAUGUAUCUCAAAUAUCUUCCUGCAGGCGUGCACAGACUUGGCUCGCUCCAGGUGUUGGAGAUUUCAUUUUGUCCGAGCAUCUCAGGGUUGCCGGGUCUCCCGCCUUCUCUAGAGGAGUUGAGAAUCUUCCGUGGCAGUGAGGAGCUGAAACUUCAAUCCAAAUCGCUAGCAUCAAGCAAGUUAAAGGUCAAAAUUGACAACCAAUAUGUGAACUGA
rnacentral:rRNA from 1 species